rnacentral:tRNA from 1 species
GCUCUUCUAGUAUACUAAGUACAAUUGACUUCCAAUCUCUAAGAUCUGGUGCCAAUCCAGAGAAGAGCA